UUGCACGCUGGCGGCAGGCCUAACACAUGCAAGUCGCACGGUAACAGGAAGAAGCUUGCUUCUUUGCUGACGAGUGGCGGACGGGUGAGUAAUGUCUGGGAAACUGCCUGAUGGAGGGGGAUAACUACUGGAAACGGUAGCUAAUACCGCAUAACGUCGCAAGACCAAAAAGGGGGACCUUCGGGCCUCUUGCCAUCGGAUGUGCCCAGAUGGGAUUAGCUAGUAGGUGGGGUAACGGCUCACCUAGGCGACGAUCCCUAGCUGGUCUGAGAGGAUGACCAGCCACACUGGAACUGAGACACGGUCCAGACUCCUACGGGAGGCAGCAGUGGGGAAUAUUGCACAAUGGGCGCAAGCCUGAUGCAGCCAUGCCGCGUGUAUGAAGAAGGCCUUCGGGUUGUAAAGUACUUUCAGCGGGGAGGAAGGGAGUAAAGUUAAUACCUUUGCUCAUUGACGUUACCCGCAGAAGAAGCACCGGCUAACUCCGUG
rnacentral:rRNA from 1 species